CUCUCCAACACCACUUACAGCAGCAGCAGCAACUGUAAGUGUACUUGGCUUUCGCCAAUAAACUCGCAAUUGCAUGCAGCGCUGCAUCUCCGUACUUCUGGAUUUUAGCGCCCAUGCUUGUGCCCCACCCGUUUAAAUUGCGUACGUUUGUCCCAACACAUAUUGCUUUCGGAACUGACACAUGUUUGUACUGCUUUGGCUUUUGCUCAACGCAAAUAAUGCUCCGGAACUUACUUCUACAUGCUUCCCGCUUUCUGCACCGAACGCCGAACGCCAAAGACUGCUAUUCCAGUCUUGCUCUGCCCUCACCCUAUAAUUUUGCAUGUCGUCACGCUUCGCGAAACUGAGCACCUCGCUCGCUCCCGCGAUCAUUGCAACAUCAAUCGACCUUUCUGCACUCGCUUACUGACCCCGUACCCCUAUGUUUCCGCUUUCUUUGCUCGCAUGUGAAUCAUAUUUGACGCCUACGCGACUACGCACACCUUCUGGACCUCAUCCUGCUCCUUGACGCGCUUCCGCCGGUAAUUUCGCCCACACAGCCAGCACCGGACUAUCACAAACGAAAGGUUUGUACUUUUGGUUGGACGUUUGUGCGUGAGCAUCGAAGUGACGUGUGCGGUGUGAACAUGCGUGUGCGUCUGUCGAACGGGGCGUGUGCGCGUGCCUGUCCUUCACGCUAAAGCCACCUGAUGAGGCCCUGGCAAGGCCGAAACGCGUCGUGGCGUGCCUUGCCUUUUACGUGUUGUGCGGUGUUACGUGGUGCCGUCCGGGGUUCGUGUCAGCGUGCUGCUGUUCGAGUUCGUGACGCGUCGGGGUCUUCGUGUGUCUCGCACCUCCAACCCCCCACGUAUCCACUUGUGAUGCACAACCCCGUACCCAGACCCGGCCAUCUGUGACCCAUAUGGACUCAGUCCGUGCCCGUAUGGGGCUUACCCAGACUCCGAUUAACUUUGCACGUCCCGCUUGCCCCAAACUCAGAGCUUAUCACCAGCAGCACAUUGACCCUUCUUGCAGUCUGUACAGUAUUAUGAACGAGGGAGCGUAACGCUGUAUGGAUGAGCGCGUAGGACAUUAUGGGACUACAAUCCCAGUCCGAACGGGUCCGCAUGGGGGCACUUGCACGCGCAUCUGGGCAUAUGUUACUCCCCUCGUCGCACCCGUCUAUGACCUGAGUGAGGUUAUAUAUGUGCCCUCACGGUCUACGGCCGUGAACACAUACCUCACUUCCAACCCGACUGUGACCGUGACCAGGCGGAGGCCCCCAGGACCUUGGGUCACGGACAAGCUUCACAACCCGCUCUUGCCCAACCCGGGUUCACUCCGGUCCAGGCCACCGUCCAAAAAUGCGCCAUCUUUGACACUUGAUAACGACUCUGGGAUACCACCGGAAAAGACAAACAACCUGACCUACCCCCCACAAAUCGUAUUUCUUUUCCGACGGUAUCCCCAGUGCCGUACGGCCCUUCCCGUGCGGGGGGUCUUGGGGGCGGAUAGGGGGGUCCCUGACGCCAAACUGGUCUCCCCUGAGUCCCCCACGCUCUCAGCCCCUCCGUGCAUGUAGUAAUGACUUGCUGGUCAAGUGGGAGGGCGGUCCACGCUCGCCUGAGGUCGAAAUGGGCGGGUUUUGGCCCGCCAGUCAUGCGCCCGAUGGGCGCGUGUCGGUCCGAUUGGGCCAAAGUGUGCUGGAGAGAGCAGUAACUCACUCCAUAUGUUAUUUAGAUACCCAAUAUUGCAUUGGAAUGUAUCCCGGGGCAAAAUGUGAGGCUCUGCCGACCGGCAAUUUCGCGACCGAGGCCCCUCGAGGAGCCAUUUUUUCAAACCGUGAUUGCCGUGUCUACUGUCAGCUAUAAGAAUGGGAAUUCAAGGCUUUGCUAGGGCUAAAAGCAGCUCUUCGUGCACAAUGUCGGGGCAUGUCGCUGCAUUUCGCGAGCUCGGCGAGCAGGCAGGCCGCGCCAGGGCUUAAAACAACAAGUCAUAACAUACAUAUGUCAUGUAUAAGCAUAAGGCAAGGUUUGGUCUUUGGACGGUGCGGCGUGUAUGGGCACGCCCCGAGUGAACCCGGGUUGAUUCACCGGCCUUUCCCUGGCACAUGCUUGGCUCCUUGCCGCCUUCCCUGACCACAUCUGAUUGUAUGGUUGUUAAAGACGUUUUGGAAGGUAGUGGGUGGUGCUUGCCGGAAGGUGGCACCACUCCUACCUUUCAGUUGCGAAUCUAAAUUGGUACGACAUGGUGCCACCCACGGUUUUCCUGCACCACGGGACCCUUGCGCAAUGGCGGGGUUGCGCAGCAGCAGCAGCAGCAGCAGCAGCAGCAACUGUAAGUGUACUUGGCUUUCGCCAAUAAACUCGCAAUUGCAUGCAGCGCUGCAUCUCCGUACUUCUGGAUUUUAGCGCCCAUGCUUGUGCCCCACCCGUUUAAAUUGCGUACGUUUGUCCCAACACAUAUUGCUUUCGGAACUGACACAUGUUUGUACUGCUUUGGCUUUUGCUCAACGCAAAUAAUGCUCCGGAACUUACUUCUACAUGCUUCCCGCUUUCUGCACCGAACGCCGAACGCCAAAGACUGCUAUUCCAGUCUUGCUCUGCCCUCACCCUAUAAUUUUGCAUGUCGUCACGCUUCGCGAAACUGAGCACCUCGCUCGCUCCCGCGAUCAUUGCAACAUCAAUCGACCUUUCUGCACUCGCUUACUGACCCCGUACCCCUAUGUUUCCGCUUUCUUUGCUCGCAUGUGAAUCAUAUUUGACGCCUACGCGACUACGCACACCUUCUGGACCCCAUCCUGCUCCUUGACGCGCUUCCGCCGGUAAUUUCGCCCACACAGC
rnacentral:lncRNA from 1 species